CGGAUGAACUGAGGGUAGCGGAGAAAUUCCAAUCGAACCUGGAGAUAGCUGGUUCUCUCCGAAAUAGCUUUAGGGCUAGCCUCAAGUGAUGAUUAUUGGAGGUAGAGCACUGUUUGGACGAGGGGCCCCUCUCGGGUUACCGAAUUCAGACAAACUCCGAAUGCCAAUUAAUUUAACUUGGGAGUCAGAACAUGGGUGAUAAGGUCCGUGUUCGAAAGGGAAACAGCCCAGACCACCAGCUAAGGUCCCAAAAUAUAUGUUAAGUGGAAAAGGAUGUGGCGUUGCCCAGACAACUAGGAUGUUGGCUUAGAAGCAGCCAUCAUUUAAAGAGUGCGUAAUAGCUCACUAGUCGAGUGACACUGCGCCGAAAAUGUACCGGGGCUAAACAUAUUACCGAAGCUGUGGAUUGUCCUUUGGACAAUGGUAGGAGAGCGUUCUAAGGGCGUUGAAGCAUGAUCGUAAGGACAUGUGGAGCGCUUAGAAGUGAGAAUGCCGGUGUGAGUAGCGAAAGACGGGUGAGAAUCCCGUCCACCGAUUGACUAAGGUUUCCAGAGGAAGGCUCGUCCGCUCUGGGUUAGUCGGGUCCUAAGCUGAGGCCGACAGGCGUAGGCGAUGGAUAACAGGUUGAUAUUCCUGUACCACCUAUA
rnacentral:rRNA from 1 species